rnacentral:rRNA from 1 species
CGGCGUGCUUAACACAUGCAAGUCGAACGCGAAAGGGAUUUCGGUCCCGAGUAGAGUGGCGCACGGGUGAGUAACGCGUAAGUAAUCUACCCCUGUAUUUGGAAUAACCCACCGAAAGGUGAGCUAAUACCGGAUACGUUUGAGAUGAUGCGAAUCAAUUCACAGAAAGGAGGCCUCUGCAUAUGCUUCCGUACAGGGAUGAGCUUGCGUACCAUUAGCUAGUUGGCAGGGUAAUGGCCUACCAAGGCGACGAUGGUUAGCGGGUCUGAGAGGAUGAUCCGCCACACUGGAACUGGAACACGGACCAGACUCCUACGGGAGGCAGCAGUGAGGAAUAUUGCGCAAUGGGGGAAACCCUGACGCAGCGACGCCGCGUGGAUGAUGAAGACCCUUGGGUCGUAAAAUCCUGUCAGAUGGAAAGAAGUGCAUAAUGGUUAAUACCCAUUGUGUUUGACGGUACCAUCAAAGGAAGCACCGGCUAACUCCGUGCCAGCAGCCGCGGUAAUACGGAGGGUGCAAGCGUUGUUCGGAAUUACUGGGCGUAGAGCGCGCGUAGGCGGUUUACUAAGUCAGAUGUGAAAGUCCACGGCUCAACCGUGGAAGUGCAUUUGAAACUGGCAGACUUGAGUAUUGGAGGGGGUGGUGGAAUUCCCGGUGUAGAGGUGAAAUUCGUAGAUAUCGGGAGGAAUACCGGUGGCGAAGGCGACCACCUGGCCAAUUACUGACGAGUGAGGUGCGAAAGCGUGGGGAGCAAACAGGAUUAGAUACCAUGGUAGUCCACGCUGUAAACGAUGAGAACUAGGUGUUGGGAUGGUUAAUCGUCUCAUUGCCGCAGCUAACGCA